rnacentral:rRNA from 1 species
UACAGAGGUGGCAAGCGUUGUCCGGAUUUACUGGGUGUAAAGCGUGUGCAGGCGGGUGGCCAAGUGGUGUAUGAAAGCUCCAGGCUCAACCUGGAGAGGUUAUGCCAGACUGGUCAGCUAGAGGCAGAGAGAGGGACAUGGAAUUCCGGGUGUAGUGGUGAAAUGCGUAGAGAUCCGGAGGAACUCCAGAGGCGAAGGCGGUGUCCUGGCUCUGACCUGACGCUCAGACACGACAGCAUGGGGAGCGAACGGG